rnacentral:rRNA from 1 species
GACGAACGCUGGCGGCGUGCUUAACACAUGCAAGUCGAACGGAAAGGCCCCUUUCGGGUUGCUCGCGUGGCGGACGGGUGUGUAACCCGUGAGUAACCUGCCCUUCACUUCCUGAUAACUUCAGGAAAUUGGUGCUAAUACCGGGUAGGAAUCCUUGCUUCAUCCUGGGGGUUGGAAAGCUUCGGCGGUUUUGGAUGGACUCGCGGCUUAUCAGCUUGUUGGUGGGGUAGUGGCUUACCAAGGCUUUGACGGGUAGCCGGCCUGAGAGGGCGAACGGCCACAUUGGGACGGAGAGAGGGACGAGACUGCUACGGGAGGCAGGAGGGGGGAAUAAUGCACAAUGGGCGGAAGACUGAUGGAGGAAGGAAGCGUGCGUGAUGACGGACUUCGGGUUGUAAACCGCUUUCAGCAGGGGGGAAGCUUGUGGUGACGGUACCUGAAGAAGAAGCACCGGCUAACUACGUG